GACGAACGCUGGCGGCGUGCUUAACACAUGCAAGUCGAACGAAGAGCGAUGGAAGCUUGCUUCUAUCAAUCUUAGUGGCGAACGGGUGAGUAACGCGUAAUCAACCUGCCCUUCAGAGGGGGACAACAGUUGGAAACGACUGCUAAUACCGCAUACGAUCUAACCUCGGCAUCGAGGAAAGAUGAAAGGUGGCCUCUAUGUAUAAGCUAUCACUGAAGGAGGGGAUUGCGUCUGAUUAGCUAGUUGGAGGGGUAACGGCCCACCAAGGCGAUGAUCAGUAGCCGGUCUGAGAGGAUGAACGGCCACAUUGGGACUGAACACCGGCCCAACCUCCUACGGGAGGCAGCAGUGGGGAAUCUUCCGAAAUGGACGAAAGUCUGACGGAGAAACCCCGCGUGAGUGAUGACGGCCUUCGGGUUGUAAAGCUCUGUUAAUGGGGACGAAAGGCCUUCUUGCGAAAAGUGAGAAGGAUGGACGGGACCGGAAUAGAAAGCCACGGCGAACUACGG
rnacentral:rRNA from 1 species